CUGGCGGCGUGCCUAACACAUGCAAGUCGAACGGAGCGAAAGCAGCUUGCUGCUGGAGCUUAGUGGCGGACGGGUGAGUAACACGUGAGUAACCUGCCUUUCAGAGGGGAAUAAUGUCUGGAAACGGACACUAAUACCGCAUAACAUAUUGAGAUCGCAUGAUUUUGAUAUCAAAGGAGCAAUCCGCUGAAAGAUGGACUCGCGUCUGAUUAGCCAGUUGGCGGGGUAACGGCCCACCAAAGCGACGAUCAGUAGCCGGACUGAGAGGUUGAACGGCCACAUUGGGACUGAGACACGGCCCAGACUCCUACGGGAGGCAGCAGUGGGGGAUAUUGCACAAUGGGGGAAACCCUGAUGCAGCCAACGCCGCGUGCAGGAAGACGGUCUUCGGAUUGUAAACUGUUGUCCUCUGUGACGAUAAUGACGGUAGCAGAGGAGGAAGCCACGGCUAACUACGUGCCAGCAGCCGC
rnacentral:rRNA from 1 species